rnacentral:rRNA from 1 species
CCUACGUGAGGCAGCAGUGAGGAAUAUUGGUCAAUGGGCGCGAGCCUGAACCAGCCCAGUAGCGUGAAGGAUGCCUGCCCUAUGGGUUGUAAACUUCUUUUAUCAAGGAAUAAAGUGAGGCACGUGUGCCUUUUUGUAUGUACUUUAUGCAUAAGGAUCGGCUAACUCCGUGCCAGCAGCCGCGGUAAUACGGAGGAUCCGAGCGUUAUCCGGAUUUAUUGGGUUUAAAGGGAGCGUAGAUGGGUUGUUAAGUCAGUUGUGAAAGUUUUCGGCUCAACCGUAAAAUUGCAAUUGAUACUGGCAGCCUUGAGUACAGUUGAGGUAGGCGGAAUUCGUGGUGUAGCGGUGAAAUGCUUAGAUAUCACGAAGAACUCCGAUUGCGAAGGCAGCUUACUAAACUGCCACUGACAUUGAUGCUCGAAAGUGUGGGUAUCAAACAGGAUUAGAUACCCCUGUAGUC